UGGCUCAGUGGUUAAGAGCACUGGCUGCUCUUCCAGAGGAUCAGGGUUCAAUUCCCUG
rnacentral:tRNA from 1 species